rnacentral:misc_RNA from 1 species
GGAGUAAAAGUCGUAACAAGGUCUCCGUAGGUGAACCUGCGGAGGGAUCAUUACAGAGUUCAUGCCCUACCGGGUAGAUCUCCCACCCUAUGUUAUUAUUACCUUGUUGCUUUGGCGGGCCGUUAGGCUCCGGCCCGACUACCGGCCCCGGCUGGUAAGCGCCCGCCAGAGGACCCAAAACCCUGAAUAUUAGUGUCGUCUGAGUACUAUAUAAUAGUUAAAACUUUCAACAACGGAUCUCUUGGUUCUG